GGGUCGAUGGCGUAGCUGGUUAUCGCAUCUGUCUCACACGGCUGUGGCGCACAGAAGGUCCUCAGUUCGAACCUGGGUCGACUCA